CACGGAUCACAUCAGCUCUGCUGUAAUAUUAUUAUUGUGUUAAAUAAAUGCUUUCAUUAUUAUUACAUACAAACUCGCACAAAAAAAGCUCAAAUGUUCGUGUCUUGCAUUUCUUUGGAACAUAUGAUGUUACGUCUUCGUUAGAGUAAGAUCUCGUUGCCCAACCUGUGAUUCUUCGAGGCUAUUAAUGAUAUGCAGUAUACAGUGACCUCUAGUUAAAUAUGAAAAUAAUUGUAAUAUAUUUCUCAUUUUAGAUCUCUACUCCCCAUCAAAUGCUUCUCUUUUCUCCGAGGAAGAAGACCAAGAUAAGGUACUGUAUUUCUGAACAUUGAUAUGUAGUUACUGGCUUGUUUUGACGACAUAUUUUCAGCUAACUUUAUCUGUGCAGGAUAACCUAAACUAAACUAACUUUAUUUAUACUGGAUAGCUCUAUCAGUUCUAAACUGUUCUCCCUAGAGGUCCAGUAAGGAUCAUCUCUUAUUGAUCCAGUGUUACUACAGGAGGAAACCUAAACUAAACUAACUUCAUUCAUACUGGAUAGCUCUAUCAGUUCUAAACUGUUCUUCCUAGAUGUCCAGUAAGGAUCAUCUCUUAUUGAUCCAGUGUUACUACGGGAGGAAACCUACAAUAAACUAACUUUAUUUAUACUGGAUAGCUCUAUCAGUUCUAAACUGUUUUUCCUGGAGGUCCAGUAUCUUGCAUGAGAGUUGAGAAAUCAUGCAUAAUUCUCGCUUGCCAACUCGCAGCAAUUCGCAUGAGUUGAUCAGUGACCAAUUUACGUUCUGUUUGUUUACAGUUCAGCAAUGGUCAUAUUCAAUCACGUCGACGAAGACCUAACCAGGAAGAUUGUGACGUCAUAACAUGACGUCAUUAUAAAUAUAAUAUAAUAUAAUAUGACAAAUUUCAUCAAGAUGACGUCAUAUCUUGAUGCAUUCGUCUCACUAUAUUAUGACGUCACGAUGACGCCAUAAUUAUGUCACUAAGGUUGUAAUAUGGCGGCACCAUCGUGACGUCACAAUAUAUUUAUCAUCAUGAUGACGUCAUGAGGUUGUCUUCAUUGGAACGUCACAACCUGAUGCCUUCUACGAAUGAUGAUGACGUCAUUGUGAGGUUAUUUUAAUGGCGGCAAAACGAACUUCAGUGUCGUAUUUAAUGAAAUUUUUAAUUGUGCACAUCAAUUUUAGAUAAACUGUAAAGUUAGUUCUAAUUCUAUUUAUUUGGUAGAAUUUCAUUUAUCUAGUUAUGUAGAUGAAUAAUAUGUAUAUAAAAUAUAUAUUUACAAUUCAAUGAUAAAACUCGCAAUUCUGUUAUUGUCAUAACGUGAAACGAAAAAAAAAUGGCCAAAAGCCAUAAGUUCCAAUUAAACCCGGAGGAUUUUACCUGAUUUGAACUUCAAUGUUAAUAAUUUACCUGAAGUGUAAUAAUUAUAAUAGAGCUUUUUCUGAUUGAUUUCCACUGUCAUAUUAAGUUUCCAAAGAAGAGGGGGUUCCUCCCCCCGAAAAUUUUUACAUUUUUGAAUCUCCUGGACUGCAUUUCUGGCGUUUUCUAAAGCAAAUUCGCAAACGAAUUGGAUCUAAAUUGACUGUAUUUUACAAAAGUGGUUAUCAUUUCACAAAAAUAACGAC
rnacentral:lncRNA from 1 species